rnacentral:rRNA from 1 species
AGAGUUUGAUCAUGGCUCAGAACGAACGCUGGCGGCGUGGAUAAGACAUGCAAGUCGAGCGACGACUUCAGGGUAGCAAUAUUUUGAAGUUGGAGCGGCGCAAGGGUGCGUAACACGUGGGUAAUUUGCCGCGAAGCCUGGAAUAACUCGCUGAAAGGCGAGCUAAUGCCGGAUGUGAAGUUUGAAUGGCAUCUUUUGAACUUCAAAGCUGGGGACCGCAAGGCCUGGCACUUCGCGAUAAGCCCGCGGCCUAUCAGCUAGUUGGUGAGGUAACGGCUCACCAAGGCUAAGACGGGUAGCUGGUCUGAGAGGACGACCAGCCACACUGGAACUGAGACACGGUCCAGACACCUACGGGUGGCAGCAGUCGAGAAUUUUUCACAAUGGGCGCAAGCCUGAUGGAGCGACGCCGCGUGGGGGAUGAAUGGCUUCGGCCCGUAAACCCCUGUCAUUUGCGAUCAAACCGCAUAAUUUAAAAGAUGAUGCGCUGAUAGUAG